rnacentral:tRNA from 1 species
GGCAGAGUAGUUUAAUGGUGAGAAUACUGGGCUGUGAUCCCAGAGGUGGUUUGUGCAAGAUCUUUUGCUA